CUGACAUAACAGCAUAACACCAACAUUGGAGUGUAUGGACUGACUGCACAGGGACCCACAUCGGCCUGUAUGGACUGACAGCACAGAGAUCAACAGUGGUCUGUAUGGACUGACUGCACAGAGACCCACAUCGGUCUGUAUGGACUGACAGCACAGAGACCAGCAUUGGUGUGUAUGGACUGACAUAACAGUGUGAUAACACCAAUGUCAGUCUGUACCCACUGAUAUAACAUCAUAACACCAACAUCAGUGUGUAUGGACUGCUAUAAUGCUGUGAUAACACCAAUGUCAGUCUGUGCCCAUUGAUAUAACACCGUGAUAACACCAACAUCAGUGUGUAUGGACUGAUAUAACGCUGUGAUAACACCAAUGUCAGUCUGUACCCACUGAUAUAACAUCAUAACACCAACAUCAGUGUGUAUGGACUGAUAUAACGCUGUGAUAACACCAAUGUCAGUCUGUGCCCAUUGAUAUAACACCGUGAUAACACCAACAUCAGUGUGUAUGGACUGAUAUAACGCUGUGAUAACACCAAUGUCAGUCUGUACCCACUGAUAUAACAUCAUAACACCAACAUCAGUGUGUAUGGACUGCUAUAAUGCUGUGAUAACACCAGUGUCAGUCUGUGCCCAUUGAUAUAACACCGUGAUAACACCAACAUCAGUGUGUAUGGACUGAUAUAACACCGUGAUACCACCAACGUCAGUCUGUAUGGACUGACAGCACAGAGACACCGACGUUGGUCUGUAAGGACUGACGUAACAGCAUGAAAGCACCAACAUCAGGCUGUACUGACUGACAUAACACCAUGAGGACACCAACAUCAGUCUGUUCCGACUGACACAACAGCAUGGCAGCACCAAUAUCGGCCUGUAUGGACUGCUGUAACACUGUGAUGGCCC
rnacentral:lncRNA from 1 species